rnacentral:lncRNA from 1 species
UGGCACUGAAGGAAAGUUUUGAGGACGUUGGUUGCCUUGUGUGUCAAGGGGUGCGGGUUUUGUCAUGAUAGUGCUAGAUUUUUGGACGAGAAAACAGGCUGGAAAUGAUGUGGGUUGUCAAUUAUCACCUUGGGAGGUAUUUUCCUUCAUCAACCAUAUACAGAGAAGCUUUCAUUUCUUUGAUGCAAGAUUGAAUAAAUUUUAAUUCUUUUUAAAUGGAGAUUUGGAUGGGAAAAAACAGUCAUUAUUUUUAAGAAGAAGACACAAUACGAAGGGCUAUAACACGGGAUAUACCAUACUCAAAAUGUGUCAAAAAUUCAGUUGUGUAUGUUCCAAUUUGUUUAGUGUAUCUGACAGACUGCCAGUGUGUUGUAAAAAAAAACCUGAUUAUACCUAGUUCAGAUAUGAUGGAUUCUUGGUUAUCUGUGGAACAGUUUGUUUGGGAAUCAGGGAAAGACAACGAAAAGGAAAACGGAGAGGGGGAAAGUGAAGGAUAAAUAACUCUACUUUUUUGUUCGGAGAAAUGAGGAAACCAUAUGCUUGCCCGUUGUCCCUUCACAUUCACUACUUGUGUGUUGAAG